GGUCAAGGGCUUGGGGUCCCUGCUGGUUGGCAUGGUAACAUGAAAGAGUGCUGACUUCUUUAUGUCUCAACCCCAGCUCAUGGUGGUGGACAUCACUGAACUGGGCACCAUCAAGAUUCAACUAGAGGUGGUGUGGAAUGUACCUGGUGUUUGCGAUGGAGAGUCCUAAGAGGAGAAUGGCCUUGAAGUAGCUGAAAGGGAGGUGCAUCGCUGAGCUGCUGCCCUUGGGCUACACCCUCCAUCGCUUAGCCAGCCUCCAGACGGACGCCAACCACAAGGUGUCUCAGGCUGCCAGCAACUGUCUCUGCAGAGCCGCGGGCUACAAGGCCUUCAGGACCAAGGCUAUAGUCUACUACACGGAAAUCCUGAGGAACAAUCGAUGUCCAGCUCCAGCAGACUGCCUGUCUGGCCCUCAAGUGUCUCAAAGCGAUGGAGAGCGUGGAGCAGGUGGCUGAGUUGUGGCGGUCAUCUGACGAGGACCUGCGCAGUGCUGUUAGAGAGACCGUGCUAUCAUUUGGUAAUCAUUCAGCCCUGUUCAUUUGCAUGCAAUUACAUUAUUAGAUAAGUAAUAACUGACCUGGUAGGUUAGUCAAAUGGAAAUGUCUGUGCCCAAAUGGGCUAGA